GUUAAGCGACUAAGCGUACACGGUGGAUGCCCUGGCAGUCAGAGGCGAUGAAGGACGUGCUAAUCUGCGAUAAGCGUCGGUAAGGUGAUAUGAACCGUUAUAACCGGCGAUUUCCGAAUGGGGAAACCCAGUGUGAUUCGUCACACUAUCAUUAACUGAAUCCAUAGGUUAAUGAGGCGAACCGGGGGAACUGAAACAUCUAAGUACCCCGAGGAAAAGAAAUCAACCGAGAUUCCCCCAGUAGCGGCGAGCGAACGGGGAGCAGCCCAGAGCCUGAAUCAGUGUGUGUGUUAGUGGAAGCGUCUGGAAAGGCGCGCGAUACAGGGUGACAGCCCCGUACACAAAAAUGCACAUGCUGUGAGCUCGAUGAGUAGGGCGGGACACGUGGUAUCCUGUCUGAAUAUGGGGGGACCAUCCUCCAAGGCUAAAUACUCCUGACUGACCGAUAGUGAACCAGUACCGUGAGGGAAAGGCGAAAAGAACCCCGGCGAGGGGAGUGAAAAAGAACCUGAAACCGUGUACGUACAAGCAGUGGGAGCACGCUUAGGCGUGUGACUGCGUACCUUUUGUAUAAUGGGUCAGCGACUUAUAUUCUGUAGCAAGGUUAACCGAAUAGGGGAGCCGAAGGGAAACCGAGUCUUAACUGGGCGUUAAGUUGCAGGGUAUAGACCCGAAACCCGGUGAUCUAGCCAUGGGCAGGUUGAAGGUUGGGUAACACUAACUGGAGGACCGAACCGACUAAUGUUGAAAAAUUAGCGGAUGACUUGUGGCUGGGGGUGAAAGGCCAAUCAAACCGGGAGAUAGCUGGUUCUCCCCGAAAGCUAUUUAGGUAGCGCCUCGUGAAUUCAUCUCCGGGGGUAGAGCACUGUUUCGGCAAGGGGGUCAUCCCGACUUACCAACCCGAUGCAAACUGCGAAUACCGGAGAAUGUUAUCACGGGAGACACACGGCGGGUGCUAACGUCCGUCGUGAAGAGGGAAACAACCCAGACCGCCAGCUAAGGUCCCAAAGUCAUGGUUAAGUGGGAAACGAUGUGGGAAGGCCCAGACAGCCAGGAUGUUGGCUUAGAAGCAGCCAUCAUUUAAAGAAAGCGUAAUAGCUCACUGGUCGAGUCGGCCUGCGCGGAAGAUGUAACGGGGCUAAACCAUGCACCGAAGCUGCGGCAGCGACACUGUGUGUUGUUGGGUAGGGGAGCGUUCUGUAAGCCUGCGAAGGUGUGCUGUGAGGCAUGCUGGAGGUAUCAGAAGUGCGAAUGCUGACAUAAGUAACGAUAAAGCGGGUGAAAAGCCCGCUCGCCGGAAGACCAAGGGUUCCUGUCCAACGUUAAUCGGGGCAGGGUGAGUCGACCCCUAAGGCGAGGCCGAAAGGCGUAGUCGAUGGGAAACAGGUUAAUAUUCCUGUACUUGGUGUUACCGCGAAGGGGGGACGGAGAAGGCUAUGUUGGCCGGGCGACGGUUGUCCCGGUUUAAGCGUGUAGGCUGGUUUUCCAGGCAAAUCCGGAAAAUCAAGGCUGAGGCGUGAUGACGAGGCACUACGGUGCUGAAGCAACAAAUGCCCUGCUUCCAGGAAAAGCCUCUAAGCAUCAGGUAACAUCAAAUCGUACCCCAAACCGACACAGGUGGUCAGGUAGAGAAUACCAAGGCGCUUGAGAGAACUCGGGUGAAGGAACUAGGCAAAAUGGUGCCGUAACUUCGGGAGAAGGCACGCUGAUAUGUAGGUGAAGUCCCUCGCGGAUGGAGCUGAAAUCAGUCGAAGAUACCAGCUGGCUGCAACUGUUUAUUAAAAACACAGCACUGUGCAAACACGAAAGUGGACGUAUACGGUGUGACGCCUGCCCGGUGCCGGAAGGUUAAUUGAUGGGGUCAGCGCAAGCGAAGCUCUUGAUCGAAGCCCCGGUAAACGGCGGCCGUAACUAUAACGGUCCUAAGGUAGCGAAAUUCCUUGUCGGGUAAGUUCCGACCUGCACGAAUGGCGUAAUGAUGGCCAGGCUGUCUCCACCCGAGACUCAGUGAAAUUGAACUCGCUGUGAAGAUGCAGUGUACCCGCGGCAAGACGGAAAGACCCCGUGAACCUUUACUAUAGCUUGACACUGAACAUUGAGCCUUGAUGUGUAGGAUAGGUGGGAGGCUUUGAAGUGUGGACGCCAGUCUGCAUGGAGCCGACCUUGAAAUACCACCCUUUAAUGUUUGAUGUUCUAACGUUGACCCGUGAUCCGGGUUGCGGACAGUGUCUGGUGGGUAGUUUGACUGGGGCGGUCUCCUCCUAAAGAGUAACGGAGGAGCACGAAGGUUGGCUAAUCCUGGUCGGACAUCAGGAGGUUAGUGCAAUGGCAUAAGCCAGCUUGACUGCGAGCGUGACGGCGCGAGCAGGUGCGAAAGCAGGUCAUAGUGAUCCGGUGGUUCUGAAUGGAAGGGCCAUCGCUCAACGGAUAAAAGGUACUCCGGGGAUAACAGGCUGAUACCGCCCAAGAGUUCAUAUCGACGGCGGUGUUUGGCACCUCGAUGUCGGCUCAUCACAUCCUGGGGCUGAAGUAGGUCCCAAGGGUAUGGCUGUUCGCCAUUUAAAGUGGUACGCGAGCUGGGUUUAGAACGUCGUGAGACAGUUCGGUCCCUAUCUGCCGUGGGCGCUGGAGAACUGAGGGGGGCUGCUCCUAGUACGAGAGGACCGGAGUGGACGCAUCACUGGUGUUCGGGUUGUCAUGCCAAUGGCACUGCCCGGUAGCUAAAUGCGGAAGAGAUAAGUGCUGAAAGCAUCUAAGCACGAAACUUGCCCCGAGAUGAGUUCUCCCUGACUCCUUGAGAGUCCUGAAGGAACGUUGAAGACGACGACGUUGAUAGGCCGGGUGUGUAAGCGCAGCGAUGCGUUGAGCUAACCGGUACUAAUGAACCGUGAGG
rnacentral:rRNA from 1 species